AGAGUUUGAUCAUGGCUCAGAACGUACGCUGGCGGCACGCUUAACACAUGCAAGUCGAACGAAGUAGCAAUACUUAGUGGCAGACGGGUGAGUAACAUGUGGGUAUCUGCCCUUUGGCCUGGAAUAACACGAGGAAACUUGUGCUAAUACUGGAUAAGUCUUUACGGAGAAAGCUUUAUGCACCAUUGGAUGAGCCCGCACUUGAUUAGUUUGUUGGUAGGGUAAUGGCCUACCAAGACUGUGAUCAAUAGCUGAUUUGAGAGGAUGAUCAGCCACAUUGGGACUGAGACACGGCCCAAACUCCUACGGGAGGCAGCAGUGGGGAAUCUUGCACAAUGGAGGAAACUCUGAUGCAGCGAUGCCGCGUGAGUGAAGAAGGCCUUUGGGUUGUAAAGCUCUUUCGUCGGGGAAGAAAAUGACUGUACCCGAAUAAGAAGGUCCGGCUAACUUCGUGCCAGCCGCCGCGGUACUU
rnacentral:rRNA from 1 species